rnacentral:rRNA from 1 species
GUGUAGGGGUAAAAUCCGUAGAGAUCAGAAGGAAUACCGAUUGCGAAGGCGAUCUACUGGAACAUUAUUGACGCUGAGACGCGAAAGCGUGGGGAGCAAACAGGAUUAGAUACCCUGGUAGUCCACGCCCUAAACGAUGUACACUAGUUGUUGUGAGGCUCGACCUUGCAGUAAUGCAGUUAACACAUUAAGUGUACCGCCUGGGGAGUACGGUCGCAAGAUUAAAACUCAAAGGAAUAGACGGGGACCCGCACAAGCGGUGGAGCAUGUGGUUUAAUUCGACGAUACACGAAGAACCUUACCUGGACUUGACAUAGUAAGAACUUUCUAGAGAUAGAUUGGUGUCUGCUUGCAGAAACUUAUAUACAGGUGCUGCACGGCUGUCGUCAGCUCGUGUCGUGAGAUGUUGGGUUAAGUCCCGCAACGAGCGCAACCCUCGUCAUUAGUUGCUAACAGUUCGGCUGAGAACUCUAAUGAGACUGCCUACGCAAGUAGGAGGAAGGUGAGGACGACGUCAAGUCAUCAUGGCCCUUACGUCCAGGGCUACACACGUGCUACAAUGGGAUAUACAAAGAGCAGCAAUACGGUGACGUGGAGCAAAUCUCAAAAAUAUCUCCCAGUUCGGAUUGUAGUCUGCAACUCGACUACAUGAAGUUGGAAUCGCUAGUAAUCGUAGAUCAGCUAUGCUACGGUGAAUACGUUCCCGGGUCUUGUACUCACCGCCCGUCACACCAUGGGAGUUGAACUCAUUCGAAGCGGGGAUGCUAAAGUAGCUACCUUCCACAGUGGAUUCAGCGACUGGGGUGAAGUCGUAACAAGGUAACC